ACCCUCAAAUGCUCUCACCUAGUACCUGAACAACAGCCCUUCAGUAACUGCUGCUCAUCUCCCCCGCCUGGAUCUCAGGAAAACAGACUCAGCUCCAGCCCUGGUUACCUGGAGAUGCUGAAAGCAGAUUCAGAUGCAAGGUGUAUUGAACCCAGACACAAGUUCACCCCAAAUUUGGCAAGUUAGAGUUUAAAAUAGUAUGUGUUCAGGGUGAGCCUGUUGUGGGAGAGGAGCAGCACCGUUUCUCCAGGCACCUUCUCCAUCCCAGGAUCAUUGCUGGCACCCACCAGCUGAGCAGGAGUGGACAGAGCUGGACAGGAUCCCCGGAGCCCUCGUGUCCCUCUGGCUGCAGGACACCAGGGUUCUACAAGGUCAGACCCUUCCCCCAGCUGCAUCCAUGAGCUGGGGACCUCCAGGAAAAAGCCAUGAGCUGGGAACCUCCAGGAAAAAGGCACUGGUGGGAUGUUGCUGGCAGGUUUGGUGGUUGGUGGUGGCCUCGUGCUCGGGGUUGCUGCUCCCGGCGGUGCCCCGAGUGCAGCGUCAGCUGGAUUUUGGCAGCUCUGAGCCCU
rnacentral:lncRNA from 1 species